UGGGACGCCAGUUCCCGAAGGAUCACCAAAGUUAAGCAACGUCGAGCCUGGUCAGUAGCUAGAUGGGUGACCGCUUGGGAAUACCAGGUACUGUAAG